rnacentral:rRNA from 1 species
UACGUAGGGUGCGAGCGUUGUCCGGAAUUAUUGGGCGUAAAGAGCUCGUAGGCGGUCUGUCGCGUCGAUCGUGAAAACUUGGGGCUUAACCCUGAGCUUGCGGUCGAUACGGGCAUGACUGGAGUUCGGCAGGGGAGACUGGAAUUCCUGGUGUAGCGGUGAAAUGCGCAGAUAUCAGGAGGAACACCGGUGGCGAAGGCGACAUCCUGGACCGGUAUUGACGCUGAGGCGCGAAAGCGUGGGGAGCGAACAGG